rnacentral:sRNA from 1 species
GCUGGGCGUGGUGGCACAUUCCUGUAAUCCCAGUUGACUGGGGAGGCUGAGGCAGGAGGAUUGCAAACUGAGGUCAGCCUCAGCAAUUUAGCAAGACCCUUGGCAACUUAGCAAGACCCUGUCUCAA